UAAGGAAUAUUGGUCAAUGGGCGCAAGCCUGAACCAGCCAUGCCGCGUGCAGGAUGACGGACCUACGGUUUGUAGACUGCUUUUGUACGGGAAAAAACCCCUGAUUUCGUAUCAGGGCUGAUGGUACCGUAAGAAUAAGGAUCGGCUAACUCCGUGCCAGCAGCCGCGGUAAUACGGAGGAUCCAAGCGUUAUCCGGAUUCAUUGGGUUUAAAGGGUGCGAAGGCGGACUUGUAAGUCAGUGGUGAAAUCUUACAGCUUAACUGUAAAACUGCCAUUGAUACUGCAAGCCUUGAGUAUAGUUGAAGUGGCUGGAAUGUAUCAUGUAGCGGUGAAAUGCAUAGAUAUGAUACAGAACACCGAUUGCGAAGGCAGGUCACUAAGUUAUUACUGACGCUCAUGCACGAAAGCGUGGGGAUCAAACAGG
rnacentral:rRNA from 1 species